GGCACAAUGGAACAGCAAGGCUACACGAGGAUCAUCAAACUCCAGAUCCUGAUCCACAGCUGUCUGAUUCUGUUACUGGGGCUGGCGGUGCUGGUGCUGGUCGUGUGGACCGGCAGGGAUGGGAGAUUCGUCGCCUUGCAGGACAGCGGCCCAGCAGGCAGCAGAUACAGCGCGUUCCCCCACGCGGUGCUGUGUGUGGGAUCGCCUCUGGGGGCUCUGCUCUUGGCAGUGGCGGCGCUGUGCUCCCUGGGAGUGUACAGGGAAUCGGAGGGGCUGCUGGGAAUGGUGAGUACCCUGGUGUGACACGUUUCGGCUUACGAUCACGAAGGGCAACGAGCGCGUUCUCCGUUCUGCAGUUCUCCGACUCGCCACCAGAUGGAGGUGUUGGAUAGUUUCAGUCCAUUUUUUCCCCCAAUGAGGUUUUUUUGUUUUGUUUGCACUGUGGCCAUGUUUCAAAAUGUUUGACUUUAACGACGUUUUCAGUGGUUCACGAGAUAAACAGGGGUUUUACAGAGACGAGGAAGACGAGACAGAAGGAGGCAGGGGGGAUCCUCUCUUUCACAACACUGGGGAGUGCAGGGCCGUGGUGUGUGGCGAUGGACGGGACAUAUCAAUCAUUUAUAGAGUGGAAGGCGCUGUGUUCAGCCACUCACUCCUUGACGAAUGCCCUCACCCCCCUCCCUUCCUCCCUUCCUCCUCAUCUCCAGGAUACAUCACUCCCUGCCAGCCAGCCCUCUCAGGAUGAGUCAUGGUCUGUCUCCAGGGAAGUGAGCAGGAGCUCCUCAGCUCCAUCCUGCCUCCAC
rnacentral:lncRNA from 1 species